GACGAACGCUGGCGGCGUGCCUAACACAUGCAAGUCGAACGAAGUGGCGAACGGGUGAGUAACGUGUAAUCAACCUGCCCUUCAGAGGGGGACAACAGUUGGAAAAGACUGCUAAUACCGCAUACUGAAGGAGGGGAGUGCGUUUGAUUAGCUAGUUGGAGGGGUAACGGCCCACCAUGGCGAUGAUGAGUAGCCGGGCUGAGAGGGUGAUCGGCCACAUUGGGACUGAGACACGGCCCAGACUCCUACGGGAGGCAGCAGUGGGGAAUCUUCCGCAAUGGACGGAAGUCUGACGGAGCAACGCCGCGUGAGUGAUGACGGCCUUCGGGUUGUAAAGCUCUGUUGUUCGGGACGCGGUACCGAAAUAGAAAGCCACGGCUAACUACGUGCCAGCAGCCGCGGUAAUUC
rnacentral:rRNA from 1 species